GGCUCUGUAGCUCAGGGGUUAGACCAUUGGUCUUGUAAACCAGGGGCUGCAAGUUCAAUUCUUGCUGGGGCCU